UAAAUAUAUAUUUAUUUAUUUCAUAAUAUGUUAUAAACAUAUAAUAUAUAAAAUAAUUUAUAUAUAUAAUGUUUAUUUCGCGCAAGGCGCGGGUCUUAACCUAGUAAUUAUUAAAAUUUGAAAGUCAAAAGAUGAUUUGAAAAUAAGAAAUUAUAAUUUUAUAAUGAAAAAAUACUAUAUAUAUGAAAAUAGCAGUUUCUAUUUUAUAGGAGAAAAUAGAGAUUGACUAUAACAUAGUUUUCUUUAUUAUAGCAUUUAGAAAUGAAUAUAACAAUAGAUAGGAAAUGUUCAUAUCUUAUACAUUAUAUAUUAAUGUUUUCUUUGUCAACAUGGUUACUUUGUUUGAGUGUUUAUUGAGUUAUUAUAGGAGGUAUUUCACAAUAUAAUUAUACAGAUAUCAAUAUUUUUAUUUAUUUGAUUAAUAUAAUAUGUAAAAUUGGGUUCAGUUUAAUAUUCUUGUGCUUUUGAUUUAUUUUGAGAUUUUGUAGGUUUUUGUAAUUCCAAGAAUUUGGUUUAGUAACAUCACAUUAUAUUAACAAUUAUAUAUUUGUUUAUUUAAUUAGAUAAUUGUUUAUAAAUUAAUAUA